AUCGAACGCUGGCGGCAUGCCUAACACAUGCAAGUCGAACGAGUGGCGGACGGGUGAGUAAUUUCUGGGAAACUGCCCGAUGGAGGGGGCUAACUACUGGAACCGGUAGCUAAUACUGCUUACCAUCGGUUGUGCCCAGAUGGGAUUAGCUAGUGGGUGGGGUAACGGCUCACCAAGGCGACGAUGCCUAGCUGGUCUGAGAGGAGGACCAGCCACACUGGAACUGAGACACGGUCCAGACUCCUACGGGAGGCAGCAGUGGGGAAUAUUGGACAAUGGGCGAAAGCCUGAUGCAGCAAGGCCGCGUGUAUGAAGAAGGCCUUCGGGUUGUAAAGUACUUUCAGCGAGGAGGCGUUACUCGAAGAAGAAGCACCGGCUAACUCCGUGCCAGCCGCCGCGGUAAUUC
rnacentral:rRNA from 1 species